UCAAGGUGAUGUCACUGGAUUCUGGCAGGAAAUGCUGUUUCCUGACUAAUGGAAAAACUGUGAGAACGAAGCAAGUAAAAAGGAAAAUGAAACACACCUGAGCUUUGGGCUUGUCUCAUCUCACCUGCAACAUUUCAGAUGGAGACAGCACUGGAGAAGAAUAAAACACAAAAUUAUCCGAGUCUAACGAAAAUAAGGUGUGUAGGUUCACCUCCUCCAUGUACUGAUCACAGCAAAUUUAAAUGAUCUAACAUUCUACAGGAGUGAUAUUCACCAGGACUUUGCAUAAAUGAAAAAAAAUAUUAAAGACCAAAAUGCUGUCAAAGUAAUUUCAGCAAGUCCCUACUGGGAUGUUUAAAAUCUGUCAUUUGAAUUCAGCAUUCAACCUCCCUGCACGAUGAACAGACAGUAUAACUAAUGGGACUGUAGGAUACCUUAUGACCUGACUGUCAGCGAAGCCAUGUGGAUUGAUGGAAGACUGGCACACUCA